AAGAUGAGACGUGGCCGUCAGGCCAUAUGUCUCUUUAAACAUCACCACCUGUGUUUUUGUUCUCGAAGCUUGUCAACUCUUAGAGUUGGCAAACUUUCACAAUCAAUCCCCCUUUAACUCUCUCCUUUCUUUUGACUGAUACCAACACUUUUGUGUGACGAAAAUCAUACAGAAAACAACAACAGCUAUA
rnacentral:misc_RNA from 1 species